UACGAAGGGUCCAAGCGUUAUCCGGAUUCAUUGGGUUUAAAGGGUGCGCAGGCGGGGCCUUAAGUCAGUGGUGAAAUCUCUUCGCUCAACGAAGAAACUGCCAUUGAUACUGAGGUUCUUGAAUGUAGUUGACGUUAGUGGAAUGUGUCAUGUAGCGGUGAAAUGCAUAGAUAUGACACAGAACACCGAUCGCGAAGGCAGCUAACGAAGCUAUUAUUGACGCUCAGGCACGACAGCAUGGGGAGCAAACAGG
rnacentral:rRNA from 1 species